GUCGAACGGUAGCACAGAGGAGCUUGCUCCUUGGGUGACGAGUGGCGGACGGGUGAGUAAUGUCUGGGAAACUGCCCGAUGGAGGGGGAUAACUACUGGAAACGGUAGCUAAUACCGCAUAACGUCGCAAGACCAAAGAGGGGGACCUUCGGGCCUCUUGCCAUCGGAUGUGCCCAGAUGGGAUUAGCUAGUAGGUGGGGUAACGGCUCACCUAGGCGACGAUCCCUAGCUGGUCUGAGAGGAUGACCAGCCACACUGGAACUGAGACACGGUCCAGACUCCUACGGGAGGCAGCAGUGGGGAAUAUUGCACAAUGGGCGCAAGCCUGAUGCAGCCAUGCCGCGUGUAUGAAGAAGGCCUUCGGGUUGUAAAGUACUUUCAGCGAGGAGGAAGGUGUUGUGGUUAAUAACCGCAGCAAUUGACGUUACUCGCAGAAGAAGCACCGGCUAACUCCGUGCCAGCAGCCGCGGUAAUACGGAGGGUGCAAGCGUUAAUCGGAAUUACUGGGCGUAAAGCGCACGCAGGCGGUCUGUCAAGUCGGAUGUGAAAUCCCCGGGCUCAACCUGGGAACUGCAUCCGAAACUGGCAGGCUAGAGUCUUGUAGAGGGGGGUAGAAUUCCAGGUGUAGCGGUGAAAUGCGUAGAGAUCUGGAGGAAUACCGGUGGCGAAGGCGGCCCCCUGGACAAAGACUGACGCUCAGGUGCGAAAGCGUGNGGAGCAAACAGGAUUAGAUACCCUGGUAGUCCACGCCGUANACGAUGUCGACUUGGAGGUUGUGCCCUUGAGGCGUGGCUUCCGGAGCUAACGCGUUAAGUCGACCGCCU
rnacentral:rRNA from 1 species